AGGUGCCAAGUACAUUUGAAGUGGUCAGCCAUCAGCUUUUUGGUGUUCGUCCUUGGAGACCAGUGGGCCUUUCAUCACCCACAGCCGUUUUAAGACAAGCUGUUUUGAGAAGACACGAAGGGCCUGAGGAGAGUCCCCUCCCUAACAGCCAUCUGGAUAGUCAAGGGCGGCAGGAUGAUGGAUUUCGUACAGAUGGCAGCUGCUCCCCAUCUGCAAGCGGCCACUAGCAGGGAGAGGAGCAAAGCCAAACCCUGCUUCCCAGCUUGACGGUUCUGGAACCUUCUCCCAGAAGCCUGAUAUUCCUGGGGCUCAGAAGACGAUGUCGCCAAAUGAAGGCUUCGAAGGCUCA